GUUUCUAUGUUUAGGGUUUGGGCAAACUGGUGUUUUCACUCUCAGGGGCUAGCUCCAUUUGUCUGGCCACUUUUCUGACUACAGUGUUGGGUACUGAACCUUUACAACAAGGCUGUGAGGGCUGAGCACUCAGAGGCAGAGGCUGGGGGAUCCCUGAGUUCAAGGCUACCCAGGGCUACACAUUCUAACUCAUCUUCAGCUCUACUGAAAGCUGACAGCUCAGUCUUGAAAACCCACAGCUCUGCUCCUGCUAUCAGGAGGAUUCCUGCAUCCAUUUAUUGUAUCCUCCAUUCCAGACUGGACUCCUAAACCACGCCACGCCCUAUCUGGGCACCAGGGCUAACAAGAUGCAGAACUCUCAGCUCUCUCCAGCACCAUGUCUGCUUUCAUGCUGCCAUGCUUCUCCCCAUGGUGAUAAUGGACUGAACCUCUGAAACUGGCCCAAGAGGACAUUCAGUCCCACGACGUGUUCAUGGGCAAAGCUUGCCAAUGUUGCAAGAAGCAGCUGCUGUAAGCAGGCAGGCUGCAGACCUUUGCACACAGCACUGCCUCUCAUAGGCAGGCAACUUAAGUUCUCACUGCCUAUGGGAAGCUGUGCUGUGCUGUCUGGAGCUGGCUGAGGCAAGGCACGUGAGCUUGAGUGGAGCACGUGCAGGGCCACUGUCAUUAUGGAAAUCCUGACUCUGAAGGCUAAUUCUGCGUCUAAAUGAGUUGAAAUGAA
ensembl:lincRNA